UCCCUCUGCAAUACUAACUGCUACUUUUUCCUCUUCAUAAUAGCUCUCUGAUUGUUGGCCAGGCGUCUCUACCACCUGAGCUGCAGCCCACAACGUUUAACUGCUUCAAAUUGUCGUGAUGUCAGCAAGGAGGUUGCCAAGGUGUAUCACAGCACAUAUACCGAGGGCAGCAUAUCGACAUUGACUUAUUUUCUCAUGUCAGUUGCUCCUCAGUACAAGGCUCACGUCUAGAUGCAGCUUCAUGCUCAGCAGCCCUGUCUCCCAUCCACAAUCCCCCCCAAGGAUGUUGGCAGCAUUGUGUUGAAUUCGGGGGAUAAAAUCUCUGGAGUCCCCUGAGGAGCCGUCCUCCCUCCUCUGGCUGUUCCUGUAAAACUUCCCUAAAGGCAGGCGUCUAGCAGGCAUCCUUACCAGAUGCCCUCAACACACCCCAACUGGCUCCUUUCUACGCAAAGGAGCAGCACUCCGAGCUUUUCAUGGAUGACUGAGCUUCUUACCCUCUCUAAGGGAGACACCAGCUCCCCUCCUGAGGAAACCCACUUUGGCCGCAUGUAUCCGUGACCUAGUUAUUUCGGUCAAGACCCAUCCUUCUUGACCCUCGGUGAAGACAGGAAAGAAGAUUGACCGGUAGACCGAGAGCUUUGCCCUACGGCUGAAAGCGAGUGCAACACCGCCCCCGCUGCUUCGGAUCUCCGGCCCAACUCUCACUCGCAC
ensembl:lncRNA